rnacentral:lncRNA from 1 species
GGGUUCGGCUGACACCCAGCCUCUAGAACUGGGAAAUCCAGUUCUCUUCUUUAAGUUAUUUCUCCUGGCAAGAUGGCUCUCACAAACUAACAACAAUAGUAAUAAUAAUAAAUAUUUCAGGGAGAAAGGAGUUCAGCACCUGUGAAGCAAAGCCAAGAAGUGGCACCUGCAGGCUGGCAGAGCUAUCGCUGGUCCUGAAGCUGAGAGACAGUUUCUUAGAGGGAAGUCAGAAGUCGCCCACACAAUCUUCACAGACACCAGCUUUACCAUAACAUUUGAAUACAGUGGCAACUUCCUGUCCCGAAGCCUCGCCUUUUCUGGUACUUCUGCCCGAGCAACUGUAGGUAAUAAUCAAAGGACUACCCAGUGCCUCGUUUCCCAUGGUCAAUGAGUUCAUCUCCACGUGCAUGGUCAAAGAGGAGAAGAGCGAGCCCAGCCGCAGAGAUCCAGCUCUGUGGUCUGUUCCCUGAGUCAGUCAGUAUGUGUCUGCUCAGGAAAAACAGUCAGUGCCCGAUUGCCUCACAUGGGAACUGGCUACAGAGAGAGUGCGGAGGCCGGAUGAUGAAAGAGUUGCUGAGAGGAGAGGGCUGGAGAAGCAAAGGAAGAAGGCUGUGUGUGUGUGUGUGUGUGUGUGUGUGUGUGUGUGUGUGUGUGUGCUUCUGCUGCUAGGGUAGGAAGAGCACAUACCCAUGUCUUGGGUAAUUGGUGCUACUGCGACAGACUAUCUCAGACCCCACCCAGCUUAACUUAACUUAUAAACAGCAGGGAUUUAACCUGCACACUGCUGGGGCCUGGGGCACUGGUGAGCGAUGAUUCUACUGUAGGCUUCCUGUUUUGUAGUUGGUGCUUGUCUCAGAGUCUUCGGAUGGUGGAAGGGCUGAGGGAUCUACCCCCUCCCUUUUAUUGUUCUCAGUGUGAAUGUGUGCGUGCGUGUUUGUGUCUGUGCCUGUGUGCACGUGGGCACAUACGGCACAUGGCAGGACAUGCCUGGGAAGGUCAGAGGAAAAUCACAAAUGUGGGUUUUCACUUUGUAGCUUAUUUGAGAAAAAUUCUUCUCUCCCUGUCUCUAUAAAGAAUAUCUUUCGCUGGGCAGUGGUGGCGCAUGACUUUAAUCCCAGCACUUGAGAGGCAGAGGCAGGUAGAUUUCUGAGUUCGAGGCCAGCCUGGUCUACAGA